rnacentral:rRNA from 1 species
UUAAGAAAGAAUUUAAUUUUGGUUCCGAUUGAACGUUUUUCAGUAGUUUUAAGACAUGCAAAUCGUUGUUUCUGAAAGUAAAUUUGUAUUUAUAAUUUAUACAAAUGAAUAAUUUAUACAAAUGAUAAUAUGAAAUAAGGUGUAGAGGUGAGGAUAGUAAAUAAGAUACCCUGUAGUCUUCAUAAAUAGAAGAUAUUAUUCUAAGUAAAUUUUUUAAAUUUAUUACUAGUAUUUUUAAAUUAAUUUGCUUGCAUUAUAUUAAAUUAUAAUUGUUUCUCAUUAAUUGCAAAAAUUUAAAUAAUAAAAUAAAGCAAGAAUAUUAUUUAAGUAACAAUAAUGUUAAAUAAAGGAAUAAAAUAAAAAGGCUAUUUUUAUUAAAAAAAGGAAAUUUUCUGCUACAGGAUUCUAUUUAUUUUGAUUAGGUAGUUGGUAUGGGUAAAGGCCUACCAAGCCAACAAUCAAUAGCCACGCUUGACAGAGCAGAUGGCCACAUUGGGAAUGAAAUCUCCCAAGUAGUUUUAUACUACCAGCAGUCAAGAAUAUUAGUCAAUGCUCGCAAGAGUGAACUAGCUAACUGAAAUCACAAAUGUGUCAUUUGUGAUAAAGUAAGAGAAAAUUAUGAUACUAUCUUACUACUAGUGCUGUCCAAAACUGGUGCCAGAAGACUCGGUAAGGCCAGAGGCGCAAACGUUAGUCGUCCUAAUCAGGCGUAAAGGGUUUGUAGGCUGCUUUGAAAGUCUUAUUAUUAUAAUAGCUAAUUAAUGAUAAGAUAAAUUGAAGCUAGAAUCUAAUAGAGGGUAAAACAAAUAAUAUUUAAAGUAAGGAUUAAAUCUCAAGAGUUUAGAUGGAAUACUAACGGUUAAAGCUUUUAUCUAUCUAAUGAUUGACGCUGAGAAACGAAAGGGAGGUAAGGAAACAGGAUUAGAUACCCAACUACUGCUCCCUGUCAACGAUGAAUGGUGGUUGCUAGUUACUAACUACUUUCAUAAUUUUGUUAUUGUUUUUUUAAUAAUAGAGAAUUAGUAGUUAAAAAAUGACUAGUAGCGAUGCUAACGCGUUAACCAUUCCGCCUUGUGAGUACGACUGCAAAGUUGAAAACAAAAAAAUUAGUCGGUUUCGAAGCAAACGAAGUGAAGCAUGUUAUUUAAUACGAUAAUCCGCGUAAAAUCUUACCAGUUCUUGCAUACAAACUUUUUUUAUAAUAAUUUUAAAAAUAAUUUUUGUUUUUUUAAUAGUUAUUUAAAAGGGAGUGUUUUACUUUUUAAAAUACUUAGAUACAGGUGUUGCAUGGCUGUCGUCAGUCCGUGUUGUGAGAAGUUUGGUUAAAUCCGCUAACGGACAAAAUCCCUGUUGUUAAUUUAUACUUAACAAUUAAUGAUACUGAUAGAGCAUCAUUUGGGGCGAAGACAAGUCGUUAUGGCCCUCAUGAACUGGGCUAUAGACGUGCCACAAGGACUUUAACAAAGUGAAGCGAUACUGUUCCCUUAAUAUUUUUCUAAAAAAAAAAUUUAUUAAAUUUAAUUACAACAAUUGAAUUAUAGGGAAUUUAAGGAGGAGCUAAUCAUUAAAAAAAGUCAAACUAUUAAAUAUAGUCGGAUUGUCCUCUGAAACUCGGGGACAUGAAGAAGGAAUUUCGAGUAAUCGUUGAUCACUACGCAACGGUGAAGCUAGCAUUCGGAAUGAACUAACUGUCUGUCGCUGGGAAGGAGCUUAACUUGGUGGAAACUGGAAUGAAGUUUUAACUUUUACAAAAAUUGUUUUUAAUUUAUUAUCUUUGAUAUCAAAUUAAAAAUUUAUUAGUUUUUUUUCCGUUAGAAUUUUAAUUUAUUGCUUAAUUAAACAGUAUUAUUUUUUUUUGUUUAAAGAAUAAAUACUUGUCUAACAAUGUUAAAUUUAAAACGAUUUUGUUAAGCAAAUUAACUCUAGUUAAACCAAUUGAGUAACAUCUCAAAAGUCAUAGCAAGGUAGCCGUACUGGAAAGUGCUGCUGUAAAAUAAAACGA